AUCGCUUCUCGGCCUUUUGGCUAAGAUCAAGUGUAGUAUCUGUUCUUAUCCGAUAAAGUAGAAAGCAUUCAAGUUCACCAUUU
ensembl:snRNA U2 U2 spliceosomal RNA